ensembl:lncRNA
CGGGGGUGAGUGCAUGAUGGGCACAGAGUCUCUUUUGGGGUGAUGAAAAGGUUUUGAAACUGGAAAAAGUUGAUGCUUACACAACAUUGUGAAUUAUUAAAUGUGGCUAAAUUGUACACUUUCAAAUGGUUAAAAUAGUAACUUUUAUGUUGUGUGUAUUUUACUAUGAUUAACCUGCCUAGGUGAUUCAUUGUGGGGACAAUUUUGAGAACCACUGAAUUAGAGCAUUCAUUUAUGCUUAACUCUGCUGUGGAGACCUGAAGAAAUGUCAAAUUCCUGUUUGAGAUAAUCAUUACAACUGGCUGGCGUCAAUGAGUUUACUGUAUCAUGUCAUUUCCAAUGGUUCCAAACUUCUGUUUUGAAUUUGCAUAUAAUGAAAUUCACUCUUCUCAGGAAGAAUUUCUGCAAGUUCUGACAAACACAGAGUCUGUGUUUGGAAAACGCAUGUGUGAAUUCCAUCCCUGCCCAUUUCCCCUGAGCUGUCUCCGUGGCCAUACACUUCCUUGGUCUGACUCGUUUUCUCUCUCUACAGUUUUGUCUUUUCCAGAACAGCAGGCAACUGAUCCAUGGAUGCUUUUGGUGGUCACACUUGGAGCACAACCUGCAACCAGGACACAAGUCUGGAGGGAGUGACGGCCCUCACUGCUUUGGACAGGCAAUGACAGGUCCACAGGGAAACUGCUUGGCUGCUCAUAAUCAGAUCGAGUGCAUUACAACUACGAUGGAUCCCUGUGCUGAACUCAUGUGGUGCUUGGGUUUAUGGAACAGAAAUGUAAUUGAAACACCGCGAGUGCAGGAGGCACAGUCGUCUCUAGUGGAAAAGUGCAGGAAUCCUCUGGUCUCUGGGCUGCACAAGACUUCCUUCUAUCUGUAAGUCCCCAAUAAACUGCAUUUGUGCAAU